CAGGGUAUAGCUCAGUUGGUAGAGCGCCGGGCUGGGGGUCCGGAGGCCGUCAGUUCAAAUCUGACUACCCUGACCA
rnacentral:tRNA from 2 species